CGUUGCAGACAUUUUGGCCGGCGUCAAGUUUGCGGCCCUGCAUGAAAACACUCUGACAUAAAACAUCAAAAGUUUUGCAACUCGGAAAAAGUGUGAAAUUUGUGAGAAAUUUAUGUAAAUUCGCGUACCGGUGCAUACAUGAAGGAUCUGUCUGACUUCGAAAAAAUGGCCGAUCUCGAUGCUGUUGUGAAUCUCGGCCUCGAUGAAAAUGAAGCGGACAUUGCGGAGGAACUACAGGGCUUCGAGGACUCUUUCGAUACUAGAAGUGAAGCGUCCGCGGACAGUUCAAGCAGUUCCGCAACGAAUCCGAGCAUAAGUUCGGUGAGUACGGAUUCGUCGGUGUCGCCAAAGAACCGGCGCGCACACCUGAAGCGCGAACGUUCAGUGAACGGGGAGAGUGGUGGCGGCGGCGGCGGUGGCGGAGGCGGCAGUGGCGGUGCAGGCGAGAACAACAAUAGAAAGGACAACAAAAACACAGACGAUGAAGACGACGACGAGGAUGAGGACAAUGAUAAGAAUAACGGUCGCAAAAGUGCCAGUGCCAGUGCGAGUGCUAGUCCGGAUGCGAAAAAGACACACAACUCGUCGUCGUCCGCGAACAAUUCCAAGCACAACUCCAAGUCCUACGACUACAUGACGAAACUCAAUUAUCUGUUCCGCGACACGCGAUUCUUUCUGAUCAAGUCCAAUAACGCCGACAAUGUGGCGCUGUCCAAGAGCAAAAGUGUUUGGUCCACGUUGCCCCAGAAUGAGGCGAACCUGAACCAGGCCUUCCGCGAAAGCCGGAACGUCCUUCUGAUAUUCUCGGUGAACGAAAGUGGUAAAUUCGCUGGGUUUGCUCGAAUGACCGGUGAAUCGAGACGAGACGUUCCUGCCGUUUCGUGGGUACUACCUCCCAGUAUUUCAGCAAAAGCACUUGGUGGUGUGAUUGAAAUUGAUUGGAUCUGUCGAAAAGAACUGUCUUUCACAUGUACAGCGAAUCUAUUUAAUUCUUGGAACGAAGGUAAACCUGUGAAAAUUGGUCGUGAUGGUCAAGAGAUUGAACCGAAAGUCGGAGCUGAAUUGUGUCGAUUAUUUCCCGAAGAUGAAGGCAUUGAACUUACACCGAUUUUAAAGAAAUCAAAAGAAACAGCCAGACUACUUCGGGAUAAAGGUGUGCGUGUAUCAUAUAAAGGACCACCUCAAAGAGGUGUUUCAAUGCGUGGUCGUAGUAGUUUAGGUGCAGUGCGAGGCAAAAAAGCCUUCUUAUUAAAUAGAAAUAAAUUGGGUGGAGUUCCGCCACCUGGUGUAUAUAAACGUUCAGCGUCACCAUAUACGGGUAGAGAAAGGACGGUUCCACCGUGGGAAAGGUAUGUCACAUCGGCUGCCGCAGCAGAGGCAUAUGUAGCUGAUUACAUGCGGACUAUGCAACACCAGCUACCUCCUAUGCCGUACAUACCGCCAGCCGCAUUCUCGAAUAUGAUUCCACCAAAUCCGGCUGUAGUACAACCCUCGGCGGCGGUAUACGAGAACCUUCCGCCACCACCGCGAUAUUACGAAGGUCCUCCGUUACCCGAGUAUCCACCACCACAACAGAUACGCCCACCACCGCCCAACUACGAGCCGCGUCCACCCUACGAACGAUCAGUUGACGAGUUCCUCUGGAAAACUAACGAUAGACCGGCACUUACUCAGGGCACAAAUGCCGGCGGCGGAUCAACAGGAGGGGGCGGUAAUUCACAAGGAGGCAGCAACAGCGCUGGAGGAGGCGGCGGAGGUGGCGGCAGUUAUCGUAGUAAUAACCGUGAUUUCCACAGAACCCGCGACCGAGGGAGGGAUCGGAGCAGUCGAAGUGAUCGUGAGCGUAAUUUCCGUGAUAGAAGUCACCAUCGCAGUAGCUAUCGUGAUAGACGAUGAUUUUACCAGAUGUAAGCAUCCCAGCAGCCUACCUGUCCUAGUGACAAAGGACUAAUUGAAAAAUCGGGCGACAAAGCUGAAACGAUACAAAUGAUAAUUAUUGCAGAAAGUAAAAAACACUUAAAAGAUUUCAUUAAAACUAAAGUACAUAUAAAAAACCGAAAGCCGAACUUCUAGUUAAAACAAAAUGAAAAAGUAAACGUAAAGCCAGCAUAAUUAUUAAAUAAGAGGCAACCUAAACCUAAAAUGCAAAAACAACUUUAAACAUAAAGCAAGAGAAAACCCUACAUAAGAGAAACAAGUAAUUCAAGAAGAACAGAUGAAACGACAACAAAAAUGAUAAAAAUCCUACAAGCGUUUGUAUUUUUAAUUCUAAUUAUUAAAAUAUUGUUUUUACAAUACUUGGAAUUUAUAUAGUGACAUGAUGUAUUUUAAUUUUAAAAAAUAUAUAUAUUUAACGACGAUACUUUAAA
rnacentral:misc_RNA from 1 species